rnacentral:tRNA from 1 species
GUUCCUGUAGCUUAAACCAAAGCAUGACACUGAAGAUGUCAAGACGGAUGUCACACGCACCCAGGGACA